GUGUCCAGUGCCGUUGAUUGC
rnacentral:miRNA from 1 species